UACAUGGGGUGCAAACGUUGCUCGGAAUUAUUGGUCGUAAAGCGCGCGUAGGCGGUUAUCUAAGUCGGAUGUGAAAGCCCUCGGCUUAACUGAGGAAGUGCACCCGAAACUGGGUAGCUAGAGUACUAAAGAGGGUCGCGGAAUUCCCGGUGUAGAGGUGAAAUUCGUAGAUAUCGGGAGGAACACCGGUGGCGAAGGCGGCGACCUGGGUAGAUACUGACGCUGAGGCGCGAAAGCGUGGGGAGCAAACAGG
rnacentral:rRNA from 1 species